rnacentral:rRNA from 1 species
AGCAGUAGCCGCGGUAACACGAAGGGGGCUAGCGUUGUUCGGAAUUACUGGGCGUAAAGCGCACGUAGGCGGAUAUUUAAGUCAGGGGUGAAAUCCCAGAGCUCAACUCUGGAACUGCCUUUGAUACUGGGUAUCUUGAGUAUGGAAGAGGUGAGUGGAAUUCCGAGUGUAGAGGUGAAAUUCGUAGAUAUUCGGGGGAACACCAGUGGCGAAGGCGGCUCACUGGUCCAUUACUGACGCUGAGGUGCGAAAGCGUGGGGAGCAAACAGGAUUAGAUACCCCGGUAGUCCCUGUCUCUUAUAC